rnacentral:rRNA from 1 species
GGGAAACGAAAUCGUCGUCAGCCUGCCAGUGAUAAAAUUCAACGGCCGCGGUAUCCUAACCGCGCGAAGGUAGCAUAAUCACUUGUUCUUUAAAUGGGGACUAGUAUCAACGGCAUCACGAGGGCUCAACUGUCUCCUUUUUCCAAUCAGUGAAACUGAUCUCCUCGUGAAAAAGCGAGGAUAUACCCAUAAGACGAGAAGACCCCAUGGAGCUUUAAACCUUGCAGCAACUCUAAUACAUAACUCAUUAAAGCCAUCAGAACCAUGCAUGCCGGUUUUAGGUUGGGGCGACCGCGGAGAAAAAAUUAUCCUCCACAACGAAAAGAACUAAACCUUUACCCAAGAGCUACUCCUCUAAGAAUUAGUAUACUAACGAACAAUGACCCGAUAAUCGAUCAAUGAACCAAGUUACCCUGGGGAUAACAGCGCAAUCUACUUCGAGAGCCCAUAUCGACAAGUAGGCUUACGACCUCGAUGUUGGAUCAGGGUAUCCCUGUGGCGCAGCCGCUACUAACGGUUCGUUUGUUCAACGAUUAAAACCAUACGUGAUCUGAGUUUCAGAACCAAGA